GGAAUGCUACGUUUGACUACUAUCAGAAGAUCAAUGUCAAGCAGGCGUAUUACAUUUCAAUGGAGUAUUUGCAGGGUAGAGCAUUGCUGAAUGCGGUUGGUAAUUUGGAGCUCUCAGGAGCUUAUGCGGAGGCUUUGAAAUAGUUGGGCUACAAUCUAGAAGAUGUAGCUCGGCAGGUCAAUGGAACUAGACGCUGCGCUUGGGAAUGGGGGACUAGGACGGCUUGCUUCUUGCUUUCUGGACUCCUUGGCACCGCUCAAUUACCCUGCAUGGGGAUAUGGACUACGAUACAAGUAUGGCUUGUUUAAACAACUCAUUACUAAAGAUGGCCAGGAGGAAGUUGCUGAAAAUUGGCUUGAGAUGGGCAAUCCGUGGGAGAUUGUAAGGAAUGAUAUCAGCUAUCCUUGGUGAAGUCAUUUUAGGGCCAGAUGGAAAUAAACAAUGGGUGGGAGGAGAAGAUAUGAUCGCUGUUGCCUAUGAUGUUCCAAUACCCGGAUACAAAACAAA